GACCCAAAAAUCAGGACUGUUCCUAUAAAAUCAGGCUAUCUGGUCACCCUAGGGCACAGGAUUAAGCUGCUGGUGGACACUUAUGUCUUGCUGCAGAAACGGGGGCAGGACAAGGAACACGUGACCCACCCCCAAAGUGGGAAGGGAGGAGGUGGGUGCAGGCUCUCACCACUGCACUAACCCACAGAGAGAGCCCCAUAUGGAGGAUCAGGGUAAUUUUAACUCAGGGUAAUGGUCCCUCUCCCAGCUCCGCCAUGGGGCCGUGCAGCUCCAUGUUGACCCCUGCUGGGAACAGGGGGAAAUGCCGCAGUUUGCUCCCUGGGGAGGGAGAUGCUAAAGCAGUGUCAUGCUCAGGCCCCUGACCCUCCCCUGCAGCACCCCCAGCCCACAACAGGCGCCUAGAGGCACAAGCCACAUAGCUAAGCAGCCUCAGCAAUAGAGAAAUCGCUUACAGAGCAAUGAACUCUGACUUUAAAUCCAGCCCCUGCAUGCUCAGCAAUCUUCCCUGUGCGUGGUGCGGGCUGGGGCGUUUAUGGAAGAGACCAGAGGAAUUUACUGCUCAAAAUUUCCUUUCACUGACACUUUUCUCUUCUUUGCCCUGCAGAGUCAGCACAGCUGGGGAAAGAGCGAGCUGGCAGAUGUAUUAUCCCUAGGGUAACCAGAUAGCAAAUGUGAAAAUUCAGACAGGAAGUGGGGGGUAAUAGGGGCUUAUAUAAGAAAAAACUCCAAAUAUUGGGACUGUCCCUAUAAAAUCAGGACAUCUGAUCACCCUAAUUAUCUCUGGUAUCACAAAUCCUGCAGCCCGGUGACCUCUUCCCCUCCUGCCUCCAGUGACCCCUGUGCAGCCCCCGUCCCCUUCCCAUCAUGCCCUUGGUGACACGUUACCCCCAUCACCUUCCCAUCCUGCUGACUCAUGGGAAGGGGGGGGUGUCAUGUGAUCCUCUAGAUGGGAUCAUUGACCCUCCCCUAGGCCUCCCUCAAAUUUUAAUUGCUAAAGCUGGGUGCCCCCAGGUGCUCUCCACUCUGCCCCCUACCCCUCUCUGCCCCCCGCCCAGCACACACACCCCAGCACCAGUUGCCUCCAAGUACCACAACACUUAUGAUAAAAUCACAAUGCCUAGUUGACCUGAAACACGAGCUGUCACACUGAAUCCAUGUGAGCAAAGUCUGGUGUGUUUUUAAAGGUUUGCAGGAUUAAGGGUUCAUAGUGGGAAGAGUGAAACAAAUGAAAGAAAGAAUUGAUAUAAACUGAAAAUGUAGAUACAACAAUUGCUUCUAAUUUUUAUUUUUCGGGAAGCAUAGACACUACAUGUAACAGUAGCAGAUUUUUAAAAAUUUCAGACAGAAGUUGGGUUUCAUUUCAUUUUAUUUACUGUGGUAUUUCAAUAUACAAUGAGAAAAAUGACAAAGCCUGAUUCUUAUAACUCAGGAUGGUUGUGUGGCUAAGGCAGUGCACUACGAUCAAGAAAUCCAGUUUUGGUUCCUGAUAUGUUAAGGUGUGUUUACACUAGAGCUAUUAACUAAUAUGAUUGUACCAUGGGCAAGGGCACCGGGCUUUGUUCAUGUUACAUUUAAUCCUAGGAUUAUUCUAACAUGGCCAAAUUCUUGAACACUCUGUGCUUCUGUUUCCCAUCUGUACAAUACAAAGGCAGGACUAUUCUUUCUUCCCCCACCAUGUGUGUCUUGUAUAUGAGGAUUGUGAGCUCUGUGGGGCAGGGACUAUCUCUCACUGUGUGUCUGUGCAGCACCCAGCACAAUGGGGCCCUGAUCUCAGCUGGGGCGGGGACUGUCUCUCACUGCAUGUUUUCUUUCAGAUACUUAAAGUUUCUGUAACCACCAUGUAAUAAGAGUGUAAGUUCUUUGGGGCAAAGACUGUCGUUUUGUUCUGUUUGUACGACACCUAGCACAAUGGGGUCCUGAUCCAUGACUAGGAUUCCUAGGUGCUAUGAUAAUACAAAUAAUAAUGCUCCCAUUCUCCUCUGUAGUCCAGGCUCUCUGACUGAACUACAUCUCCCAAGAUGCACCACGGUCUCCCCUCUUGAGGAGUUGCCUCAGUGCAUCAUGAAAGACCCAUGGCUGCAGUGCAUCACUAGAGCUAAAGUCUGUCUGGUGAGCCUUGCCCAUAUAGGGACAUGAAGCACAUGAACUACAGCUCCCAUGAUGCACUGCAGCAGAAUUUCCAAACUAAAAUAUUUUGGGUUUCAGCCAAAACUCAAAACCUUUCCAUUUUUGGGUGUUCAGCUUUUCAACAAAAAGUCUAAAUUUUCCAUGGGAAAUAGACCCUUUUUGUGUGAAAUUUAAUUUAAUUGAAAUCUCAAUUUUCCAUCAAAAAACAGUUUUAGUAGAAAAUUUUCAAAUAGUCCUAACUGCUAACACCUUUACAGUCCUGUAUACCCACCACACAUACCACAGACCUGACACUUCUGCAGUCUGUACAGUAAAAUCAAAUUUAUAUGCUCUACACACACAACUAUUCAAUAUAAAUACCAAUCCACACACACGCAUGCAUGCACAUGCAUAAACACACAUACACUACUUCUACAGACAUUAUCAAAUACCUGAAUGAUACUGGUGUUUGUGGGGAUUGGAACCCCACUGUGUUAGACGCUGUACAAACACUAGGAAGACAUGGAAAACUUACACUGAGAGAUGACAGGUAAGAGACAAAGUGUGUGGGGGGGAAUACAAUUAAAGAAGUGCAAUAUUUAAUAUACUUUUUUUUUCUCUGCCCAGCAGUCUGAAUGUAGCUGAUCAUCAGUGUGGGGAACUUUAUGGCUGCAUAUAGUCAUGUUAUGAUGGAUGUGAGCACCAAAUGGGGAAUUAGGCAAGUAUAUCUGGUUUUUGUUCUCUAUACAUUUUUGUUUACUUCUUUUCUUCUGGGAAGUCCAUGGGCAACAUGUUAACCGAUAACAAAAGAAUCUCAUCGCUUCUAUGUUAAGUUUUUGUCAGCAGUCAUGAACAUAUGUCACUUUGGACAGGUGAGCAAUUCUGUGCUUUAGACCCUUCCUGAGGCAACGUUCCAAAUAUCUAUGUUCCCCCCACUGUUUGUGCUCAAUUUUUGGCUUUUCUGGGUCAUCGGCAUUGAUCUUCAUUAGUAUCUAGUGGUUUAAAUAUGGUUUGCGGUUAAGGCAUUAGCUGAAAACUCGAUGACCUGGGUUCAGUUCUUGGCUUUGUCACAGGUUAUCAUUCUUUGUUCUUUGGUCCAAGGUACUAGCCAAUCAGGACCCCAGAGAGUUGCUUCUACUAGAAGACAAAAACUGUGCCUAAAGUCCUGUUUCCCCAACCACAGUAGCAACAAACAGUGGUGGGCAGUUUCCUUGCUCAAAAAUUCCCAAGUCUCCCCCUGCAGCAAGCUCUGUGCCCAAGGAGCCCUGUCUCUCUGCUCCCUUUCACAUCACUCUCACAACUGCUGCUCCUGGCUCCUUGGCUUAAAACACACAUAAGCUAGACCCAGUGUUUGUAUCCAGGGACCUCAGCCCACAUGCUGCAGCUGUGACCUGCCAGGCAGCCUAGUCCUUGGGCAGAUGCUCCAUUGUCUGCGGCUAUCUUUGCCACAUAAAGAGGCUUGAUUGCACCUUCUGUUGUAUCUGAGCACCUUCCAGUCACAUUGAGCAACAUGACUUACACCCGUUCGGUGUCUGUCUCUCUCAUUGUCUUCACAAGAGAAGAAUGUUUUGUGUAGAGUGUUUUGUUUUGGUGCAGGUUUUUUUAGUUUUAUAUCUAUGUGUUGCUGUCAGGUUCUUAGCUCCACGUUGUUUCCAUUUCAAAUAUGGCUGUUUACAACAUAACAUCUUUUUAUUUGGUUUCUAAAGGUCUAGCUCUAUUGUGGAAACAUUGCCGUUGGGCAUAAGAAAAAAGCUUCUUGUUUUCCAAAGCUUCCCCUUGGAGCUGAGUUAAUAUUGACACUAUCCCUUUGACCCUGAACAUUUAAAAGCUGCAGUAGCUCAUCUGCUGUUCCUACAAGCUAUUGUGAUGCAGAAUGAAUGAUUCAGGGAUCAACAGAUGGCUCAUUCACUGCACAACUUACAUACAUGCCUCUUUAUUGGACUGAAUGUCUAACUGAGAAACCUACCAUGUGCUGUGUCUGAGCAAAGGCCCCGAUCCUGCAAACACCCAUACAUAAGUAACUUUACUGACAUGAGAAGUACCAAAGUCAUUGGGACCAUUCAUGUAAUUAUUGAUAUUGCAGUAACGCUCAGCAGACCCCAGCUGAGAUCAUUACCCCAUUGUGCUGGGUGCUGCACAGACACACAGUGAUACACAGUCCCUGCCCCAGCUGAGAUCAGGGCCCCGUUGUGCCGGGCACUGGACAGACAAACAGGGAGAGACAGUCCCUACCGCAGCUGAGGUCAGGGCUCCGUUGUGCCAGGCGCUGCACAGACACACAGGGAGAGACAGUCCCUGCCCCAGCUGAGAUCAGGGCCCCGUUGUACCCUGCUAGGCCAAGUGACUUGCCCAAUGUCACACGGAAUCUGUGUCAGAGCUGAGAACUGACUCCACGUGGUCCCCUGAGUGCCAGCCCAGGGCCUGAACCACUGGGUCAUCCAGCCUCUCUUUACAAAGCCCUAGAACAACACUUAACUGCAUAUCAGGCCAGACCAGCCACAUUGUCUAAAGCAACACAUCGGAGCAGGUGAGCUUGUGUUACAAGGCACCGAGGAAGAGACUUGGAGACAGAGCAGAUGGAUCUAGUAGGAAACAAGACAAUUGGAUUGAAGCCCCGGGAGCACUGAUGACACAGACAGCACACGACAAGGGACCCUUAUCAGACCGAGUGGGCAGCCUACUCCAAUCACCAGUGCUUGUCCAGCUCUCCUAGGCUGGCUCUGCAGAAGUCUUGCCCUAGCCGCCUUCGUCCUGGUCUCAGCAGAAGAGAGCCCAGAUGCAGGCAGAUGCGGUUGUGGUGAUGGAGCUCAUACAAUCGUUCAGGGAAAAGAUCUAUUUUCCGAGGUGGAUUCAGAGGAUCAGUGUCACAUCACACGUGGGCAGGAAGAACAUUUCCACGCCUCGCUGAGGGGAGGCACAAGCGUGAAGAAUUCAGAGCGAUCAGAAACGGAUUUUACACACCAGCGAAUGUGACUGAUUCUCACAAGAAAUUGACUUUUAUUCACUCUAAUAACCUGAGGUCUGUGGGUCUGAUUAACAUCUACGUCAAAACCUGAGUGCAUCUGAGUGUGAUCACACCUACUUCAAAGCCCCUGGGCUAUUCCAGACAAGCUUUCACACCUCAGCCCUCAACCCAUACAUACACAACCCCUGUGUGUCGCUUCGUUGCCAUCGUUACCCAGCCCUUUGCUGCUGGGUGUGUGACACAUCUCAGUUCUCACCAAUUUGCCCCAGCAGGCGUCAGGGGGAGGCAGGAGCCCAUCCCCCACGCACCUCCGAAACCAGGGGGGCUUGGAGUGAACCAGGCGUAGCCAGGACAAGUUUUGGGACAGCC